rnacentral:rRNA from 1 species
GUCGUCAGCUCGUGUCGUGAGAUGUUGGGUUAAGUCCCGCAACGAGCGCAACCCUCGCCUUUAGUUGCCAGCAUUCAGUUGGGCACUCUAGAGGGACUGCCGGUGUCAAACCGGAGGAAGGUGGGAUGACGUCAAGUCCUCAUGGCCUUUAUGUCUAGGGCUACACACGUACUACAAUGGCCGGUACAAAGGGCAGCCACUCAGCGAUGAGGCGCUAAUCCCAUAAAGCCGGUCUCAGUCCGGAUCGCAGUCUGCAACUCGACUGCGUGAAGUUGGAAUCGCUAGUAAUCGUAGAUCAGCAUGCUACGGUGAAUACGUUCCCGGGCCUU